AAUAUUGGACAAUGGGCGUAAGCGUGUUCUAGUCAUGCCGCGUGUGUGAAUAUGGUCUUUGGUUUGUAAAGCACUUUAUGUUGGGAGGAAGGGCAGUAAGGUAAUACCUUGCUGUUUUGUCGUUACCGUCAGUAUAAGUAUCGGCUAACUUCUCGUCAGCAGCCGUGGUAAUACGAAGGCUGCAAGCGUUAAGCGGAAUUGCGGGGCGUAAAGCGGGCGUAGGUGGUUUGUUAAGGUGGAAGUGAAAGCCCCGGGCUCAACCUGGGAACUGCUUUCAAAACUGGCAAGCUAGAGUAUGGCAGAGGGUGGUGGAAUUUCCUGUGUAGCGGUGAAAUGCGUAAAUAUAGGAAGGAACACCAGUGGCGAAGGCGACCACCUGGGCUAAUACUGACACUGAGGUGCGAAAGCGUGGGGAGCAAAC
rnacentral:rRNA from 1 species